rnacentral:rRNA from 1 species
UACGGAGGGUGCAAGCGUUAUCCGGAUUCACUGGGUUUAAAGGGUGCGUAGGCGGGCAGGUAAGUCCGUGGUGAAAUCUCUGAGCUUAACUCAGAAACUGCCAUGGAUACUAUUUGUCUUGAAUAUUGUGGAGGUAAGCGGAAUAUGUCAUGUAGCGGUGAAAUGCUUAGAUAUGACAUAGAACACCGAUUGCGAAGGCAGCUUGCUACACGAUCAUUGACACUGAGGCACGAAAGCGUGGGGAUCAAACAGG